AUUGAACGCUGGCGGCAGGCCUAACACAUGCAAGUCGAACGAGUGGCGGACGGGUGAGUAAUGUCUGGGAAACUGCCUGAUGGAGGGGGAUAAAUACUGGAAACUGUAGCUAAUACCGCAUACCCUCAGAUGUGCCCAGAUGGGUUUAUCUUGUUGGUGGGGUAACGGCUCACCAAGGCGACGAUCCCUAGCUGGUCUGAGAGGAUGACCAGCCACACGGGAACUGAGACACGGUCAAGACUCCGACGGGAGGCAGCAGUGGGGAAUAUUGCACAAUGGGCGCAAGCCUGAUGCAGCCAUGCCGCGUGUAUGAAGAAGGCCUUCGGGUUGUAAAGUACUUUCAGCGGGGAGGCGUUACCCGCAGAAGAAGCACCGGCUAACUCCGUGCCAGCAGCCGCGGUAAUUC
rnacentral:rRNA from 1 species